GGUCCUGUAGCUCAAUGGUUAGAGCCGGCCGCUCAUAACGGUCUGGUUGCAGGUUCGAGUCCUGCCGGGCCCA
rnacentral:tRNA from 1 species